GAUGAACGCUGGCGGCGUGCCUAAUACAUGCAAGUCGAGCGAACAGACGAGGAGCUUGCUCCUCUGACGUUAGCGGCGGACGGGUGAGUAACACGUGGAUAACCUACCUAUAAGACUGGGAUAACUUCGGGAAACCGGAGCUAAUACCGGAUAAUAUAUUGAACCGCAUGGUUCAAUAGUGAAAGACGGUUUUGCUGUCACUUAUAGAUGGAUCCGCGCCGCAUUAGCUAGUUGGUAAGGUAACGGCUUACCAAGGCAACGAUGCGUAGCCGACCUGGGAGGGUGAUCGGCCACACUAGACCUGAGACACGGUCCAGACUCCUACGGGAGGCAGAAGUAGGGAAUCUUCCGCAAUGGGCGAAAGCCUGACGGAGCAACGCCGCGUGGGUGAUGAAGGUCUUCGGAUCGUAAAACUCUGUUAUUAGGGAAGAACAAAUGUGUAAGUAACUAUGCACGUCUUGACGGUACCUAAUCAGAAAGCCACGGCUAACUACGUG
rnacentral:rRNA from 1 species